GCCUUCGUGGUGUAGUGGUUCUGCACGCUGGGCCAGUAAUCCAGAGGUCCGUGGUUCGAAUCCCGGCGAAGGCG
rnacentral:tRNA from 1 species